rnacentral:rRNA from 17 species
GUCAAGUGACUAAGCGUGCACGGUGGAUGCCUAGGCAGUCAGAGGCGAUGAAGGACGUUGUAACCUGCGAUAAGGUUCGGGGAGCUGGUAAACGAGCUUUGAUCCGAACAUUUCCGAAUGGGGAAACCCACCUAUUUAUAGGUAUCUUUUGCGUGAAUACAUAGCGCAUUAGAGGCGAACCCGGGGAACUGAAACAUCUAAGUACCCGGAGGAAAAGAAAUCAACCGAGAUUUCCUGAGUAGCGGCGAGCGAAAGGGAAACAGCCGAUUCAGUAUGAUGUAGUGGAAGCUUCUGGAAAGUAGCGCAAUAAAGGGUGAUAGCCCCGUACACGAAGCAUUAUAUUGGACACAUUAAGUAGGUCGGAGCACGAGAAACUUUGACUGAAGAUAGGGGGACCAUCCUCUAAGGCUAAAUACUCCCAAUUGACCGAUAGUGAACCAGUACCGUGAGGGAAAGGCGAAAAGAACCCCUGUGAGGGGAGUGAAAUAGAUCCUGAAACCGUGUACGUACAAGCAGUGGGAGCCGUUUUAGGACGGUGACUGCGUACCUUUUGUAUAAUGGGUCAGCGACUUACAUUCAGUGGCGAGGUUAACCGAAUAGGGGAGCCGUAGGGAAACCGAGUCUUAACUGGGCGAAUUAGUUGCAAGGUAUAGACCCGAAACCCGGUGAUCUAGCCAUGGGCAGGUUGAAGGUUGAGUAACAUCAACUGGAGGACCGAACCCACUAACGUUGAAAAGUUAGGGGAUGACCUGUGGCUAGGAGUGAAAGGCUAAUCAAACCGGGAGAUAGCUGGUUCUCCCCGAAAUCUAUUUAGGUAGAGCCUCGGACGAAUACUUACGGGGGUAGAGCACUGUUUGGGCUAGGGGGCCAUCCCGGCUUACCAACCCCAUGCAAACUCCGAAUACCGUAAAGUAAUAUCCGGGAGACACACGGCGGGUGCUAACGUCCGUCGUGGAAAGGGAAACAACCCAGACCGUCAGCUAAGGUCCCAAAGUUUAUGCUAAGUGGGAAACGAUGUGGGAAGGCUUAGACAGCUAGGAGGUUGGCUUAGAAGCAGCCACCCUUUAAAGAAAGCGUAAUAGCUCACUAGUCGAGUCGGCCCGCGCGGAAGAUAUAACGGGGCUAAGCAUAACACCGAAGCUACGGAUGCACUUUGUGCAUGGUAGAGGAGCGUUCUGUAAGUGGUUGAAGCGAAAGCCGUAAGGCAUCGUGGACAUAUCAGAAGUGCGAAUGCUGACAUGAGUAGCGAUAAUGGGGGUGAAAAGCCUCCACGCCGUAAGCCCAAGGUUUCCUGUUCAACGUUCAUCGGAGCAGGGUGAGUCGGCCCCUAAGGCGAGGCAGAGAUGCGUAGCUGAUGGGAAGCAGGUUAAUAUUCCUGCACCGUCGUAUGAUGCGAUGGGGGGACGGAUCGCGGAAGGUUGUCUGACUGUUGGAAUAGUCAGUUUCUGCUUCAUAGAAGGCACUUAGGCAAAUCCGGGUGCGUAAUUC